AUACUUACAUUGCAGGGGAUAUACCAUGAUCAUGAAGGUGGUUUUUCCCAAGGGGUGGCUUAUCCACUGUACUCUGGACACGCUGACCCCUGUGAUUUCCCCAAAUGAGGGAAACUCAACGGCAUAAUUUGUGGUAAUUGGGGACUACAUUCAUGCUCUCCUCUG